GGGCCUGUAGGAUAGGGGUUAUUCCGCUUCAUUUGCAUUGAAGAGGUCCUGGGUUCAAUUCCCAGCCGGUCCA
rnacentral:tRNA from 1 species